AGAGCUUCGAUUCGAUUCCAUGGAAGCCCCUAGAUUCCACCCUCUCGUGAAGAAGCAAUCCCCACCGUCGUCAACUCCAUUUCUCGAAGGAUUAGUCUUCCGCCGCUGCAAUUGAUCGGGGUGAAUCGUGGGCCAUGGAUGUUCGUGAUCACUACAAGGUGCUGGGCUUGAACAGAAGCGCCACGAAGGAAGAAAUCAAGGACGCAUUCAGGAAGCUGGCGAAGGAAUUUCACCCUGAUAAGCAUUCCCAAUCGCCCAAGGCUGUUAAGGACUCUGCUACUUUGAGAUUCAAGCAAGUUUCGGAAGCAUAUGAGAUCCUUGGCGAUGAUUGUAAGCGUGCUGAUUAUAAUUUUCGCUCUCGUUGUGCUUCUGGUCCAUCUGUUAAUCAACACUAUUACUCGUCGUAUAAUUCUUAUGCUCAUGCGAGUGGACCUAGACAUGGUUCUUCUGGAUUUGCCUCUCGCUCUGGUUUCAAUGCCGAUGGCUUGGUUACGAAUUUUCAUAUGCUGCUGCGCUUUCUCACCACGCGUGCAUUUCUUCUCAAUUUUGCUUUCGCCGGUGUUUUAGUUGGUGGCAUGUUUGCGAUUGACUCAAGUGGGGAGGCCUUGUGGAAGAUGCA
rnacentral:misc_RNA from 1 species